rnacentral:piRNA from 3 species
GUAAUGGUUAGCACUCUGGACUCUGAAU